CCAGAAAAUAAUAAUGGGAACUUUAUUCUCAGGUAUUUUAGAAAAAACAUGUUUGGUUCAUAUUAACUACAUUCCUAGGAAUUAUUGAUAAAAGUAGGUAAAAGAGAAGUUAUUGGAAGUUAUUUAAAAUGUAUUCCCAUUUUCAUGGGAACUUUUCUUUCCCACCCAUUUCCUUGGGAAUAAAAUCAUGGGAAUAAGA
rnacentral:lncRNA from 1 species